GUUUUUCUCUUCUCCUAACUCACCCAGAGCCAGGUAUCAGGCGACAAGCCACCACUUGUGUAUCCAAACCCUCUGAAGUGUUCCAGUUUGCCAUUGUUUGCCUGCCCAAGUUUUCCUCUCCCUUAGGAAUGGCAGCAAAGGCUCCACCUCAGACUUACCUCCACAUUCUGCGUCUUUGGGCUACUCUGCAACUUUCCACGUAGCCUACUGACCUUGAACUUGUGAUUCUCCUGCGUCAGGCUCCUGAGUGCUGAGAUUGCACGUGCACAUCUGCACACUGAGCCUCCUCCCAUCAACCUGUGUUCUACUGCAUCAGACUGACUUGGUGCUCACCCUUGGCCCUGCCUAGCCAUGGGGCACCCCCUUCUCUGGGGUCCCCAUCAUGCUGUACCUGGUGGCUCUCUUUCCUUAUGCUCUCCCGCUUCAGGCCCCAUCGUGGGCGCCUCUGCUCAUGAGCCUGUAGCUCUCCCUAAUAAAGCUCUAUGAAGGGUGA
rnacentral:lncRNA from 1 species